UUUAAAUAGCUGCAGUAAUUUAACUGUACAAAGGUAGCAUAAUAAUUAGUCUUUUAAUUGAGGUCUAGAAUGAAUGGUUUAACAAAAUAUAAUCUUUAUUAUUUUAAUUUAAUUAAAUUUAAUUUUUUAGUUAAAAAGCUAACAUAAUUAAAUGGGACGAUAAGACCCUAUAGAUCUUUAAUUUUUUUUUAAUAAAUGUUUUUUGGUUUUAUUAAAAUUUAAUUUAAUAAAAAUUUUAAUUGGGGUGAUUUAAAAAAAUUUAAAACUUUUUAAUAUUUUUUCAUAUAUUAAUGUUUAUUUGAUCUUAAAAUUUAGAUUAUUAGAUUAAGAUACCUUAGGGAUAACAGCACAAUAAGUUUGAAUAGUUCAUAUUGUUAAAUUUGUUUGUGACCUCGAUGUUGAAUUAAUUUUAAAAUUUGAAGUAGAAAUUAAAGUUUUUAGGUCUGUUCGACCUUUAAUUAAUUACA
rnacentral:rRNA from 1 species